rnacentral:rRNA from 1 species
CCCUUAGAUGUUCUGGGCCGCACGCGCGCUACACUGAUGCAUUCAACGGGUUUCUUCCUGGUCCGAGAGGAAUGGGUAACCUUUUGAAAGUACAUCGUGAUAGGGAUAGACUAUUGCAAUUAUUGGUCUUCAACGAGGAAUUCCUAGUAGACGUAGUUCAUCAGACUGCAUCGAUUACGUCCCUGCCCUUUGUACACACCGCCCGUCGCUCCUACCGAUUGAGUGGUCCGGUGAGGCUUUGGGAUCUGAGCGGAAAGAGCGUUUCGCUGUUUCUGCUCGGAAAACUCAGUCGAACCUUAUCAUUUAGAGGAAGGGGAAGUCGUAACA